ACAGUUCAUUGGUUUCAUUAUUUGGUCAUGUCUAAUUUUGCUAGCUAAGAUGCUAGCCCCUAUGCUAAACAAUGUUACAUUUUGACGCAUCUAGACCAUCCUUGUUGCAACCCUCACCUCAGCUGCUAAUGGUACCAAUUGUGCUGCUGGCCGGGGUUGUUGUUUUUGGUUGUUGAGAAGGAUGCUACCAGUUAUGUCUUUGUUUGUGCAAACUUUAUGAUUAGCAGGUACAGUGAGCACCCUUCAGAACCUUUUGUUUCUUCUUUGCUCAAGUUACAUUACGUAUCAAGAUGUGAGUUACUAAAUGUUCAUGUAUGUAUCAUGGAUGGACACUACCUCUUGUAUUGUUGAUUGGUUUGCAGGCUUAAUGGUUCUAGUUCAGGUAGAAGAGCUCCAGCCUUAGAAGAUUUCUGGGAGAAUCGAGUAAGUGAAUACAAAAGUAUAUGAUCGGUUUCUUCACUCCUAUUUCUCUGCAUUAUUUUUAUCCUCAAAUAGUUCCUGCACAACUUGUUUGUACACAUGUGUGCCUGUUAUUAUUCUGGAGGUUAAGUGGGUGAAAUAGUUGGUGAUGUUUAGUGUGGAAGCCACUCAAAACCGUUGUAUAUAGUUGAAUUUGAGAUUUUUCUUCCAAUGAUGUGUUCGACUUUAUACAAUUGGAUUUCAAUUUUUUUUUCCCGAGUGAUUGUUACACAGAGACAAGAAAGUUUGUUUUAGUCAUGUAUUAGUGAAUCCUAUAUUUGUUUUAGUCAUGUAUUACACAAAGUAUUUGGCCACCGACGUUUGAAUUUAUAGACAUGUUAUUAGUUAUUACACUUGUAGUUAUGAAGCUUAUGCCAUGUGAUGGCAGUAUUAACCCCUUCAUGGAAAUGUGUUUAAAAGUUAAUGAAAAUCAGCUGUUGGAUGCCCAAUUAUGUUCCUUUUUCCUUGUUCUUGAUGUACACACUACAAAUCAUUUUUAUGAAUUUCUGAUAUGAUUGCUUCAAUGAUGAUUUUUGCAGAAGCACUUGCCUUUGGAAUUAAAGAAGAUCAGUUUAUGACACUGACAUCCAGAGAUCAUAACAAGGGGUGAGCUAAUUAUGUUGUAUUGUACUUCACGCUUUUCUGUUAUAGUCCGCAUCUUAAAAAUUUCCCUACAGAUUUCAGGGCUAGCAAAUAUGCUAAACAUAAAUACAGAGAAGGCAAUCAGUGCAGUGGAUUUCCGAUAUUGAUGCGAGAAAAAUGCCUUUGGAUCAAAGCCCACUAAGGACAGCGCGACGACUGUGCCGCACGUGAAGAGCAUGGUCAUGUCAUGGGACCACACAUCUGUGGUGGUCCGCUUGCCUUCUAUGGCGUCCAACACGACUACACCCUUUUACUCGGCCUGUUGUAAGAUAUGGUUCCCCGCCUAAUUAAUUUGUUCCUUCUUCCAAGUUCUUACAUAGUGUAUGUUCCUUUCUGUGUAGCGGAUUGGACUGGGCAGGGUGCUCUUUUGCUUUAAAGAUAGGAUAGGUGGAUGUAUUUGGUUUUAUGAUGGCCAGGUUGAUCAAAAUCACAUGGUCGUUUUUCAAGUUUGAGAAGAAAAAGACACUAGAACAGGUGAUUGAUCACAACCAUACUUUCAGAGAUUUAUAUUUGAACUUUUUCAGUUACAAUUAAAGGCAGAAUGUAGCAGUUGACAUUAUUUGUAAAUUAAUUCUCUGCAUUUAUGUAUGUGCUGAUGUAACUAAC
rnacentral:lncRNA from 1 species